GGGGGAUAUUGCACAAUGGAGGAAACUCUGAUGCAGCAACGCCGCGUGAGGGAAGAAGGUCUUCGGAUUGUAAACCUUAGUAGUCAGGGACGAAAAAAAUGACGGUACCUGAAGAGUAAGCUCCGGCUAACUACGUGCCAGCAGCCGCGGUAAUACGUAGGGAGCGAGCGUUGUCCGGAUUUACUGGGUGUAAAGGGUGCGUAGGCGGGACUGCAAGUCAGGCGUGAAAUACCGGGGCUUAACUCCGGGGCUGCGCUUGAAACUGCGGUUCUUGAGUGAAGUAGAGGCAGGCGGAAUUCCUAGUGUAGCGGUGAAAUGCGUAGAUAUUAGGAGGAACACCAGUGGCGAAGGCGGCCUGCUGGGCUUUAACUGACGCUGAGGCACGAAAGCACGGGGAGCAAAC
rnacentral:rRNA from 1 species